GCGGCCCUCCGCCCGGGGCCCCCCGGAGCACCUGUAACGCCGCGCCCGUCAGGGGCCGGCCCGAGGCGGGGAGAGGGGCGAGCGGCCGUUGGGACCCCGCGGCCGUUGGGACCCCGCGGCCGUUGGGACCCCCUGGCGGCGGAGCCUGCCUCGGCGCCCCGCCCAGCCCGGCCGCUAACGGUUCCUCGGGGAGGGGGGCGGCUUUCGGGGCGAGGGCUGAGCUGAGGGCGGGGUUGCCCUUCUCCUUCGGCGGCAGGAAAAGCGGGUAUUUCCAGGAAAGCGGUUGCAACCUGUAGGAGCAUCGUCUCGUCUUUUGCGAAACUAGGGUGGCUGAAAGCGGUGGCACAGAGGAAUGGCCUGGGUGAGCCACGGGAAGGUUUUACAGGCUCCAUUCUGGCCCUUCCUGGCCACAUCUCUCUGCACAAGACCUUCUUGAGAACAUCUGGAAGAAGGCUGACAGUUAUGAGCAGAAUUAUACACAGCCAAGCCGGG